UGGGGAAUAUUGCACAAUGGAGGGAACUCUGAUGCAGCGACGCCGCGUGAGUGAUGAAGGAAUUCGUUUCGUAAAACUCUGUUCUAUGGGAAGAAAAGGACUGUACCAUAGGAUAAAGCUCCGGCUAAAUACGUGCCAGCAGCCGCGGUAAUACGUAUGGAGCGAGCGUUGUCCGGAAUUAUUGGGCGUAAAGGGUGCGCAGGCGGAUUUACAAGUUGGAUGUGAAAUAUUGUGGCUCAACCACAAACGUGCAUCCAAAACUGCAAAGCUUGAGUUAAGGAGAGGUAAGUGGAAUUCCUGGUGUAGCGGUGGAAUGCGUAGAUAUCAGGAGGAAUACCGGUGGCGAAGGCGACUUACUGGACUUAAGCUGACGCUCAGGCACGAAAGCGUGGGGAGCAAACAGG
rnacentral:rRNA from 1 species